CAAGUCGAACGAGAAAGUGGAGCAAUCCAUGAGUAAAGUGGCGUACGGGUGAGUAACACGUGGAUCAUCUACCCUCUAGUGGGGAAUACCGAUGGGAAACCGUCGACAAUACCGCAUAAGCUCGAGAGAGGAAAGCAGCAAUGCGCUGGAGGAGGAGUCCGCGGUCGAUUAGUUAGUUGGCAGGGUAAAAGCCUACCAAGACUGUGAUCGAUAGCCGGCCUGAGAGGGCACACGGCCACACUGGCACUGAAACACGGGCCAGACUCCUACGGGAGGCAGCAGUGGGGAAUCUUGCACAAUGGAGGAAACUCUGAUGCAGCGACGCCGCGUGAGCGAUGAAGCCCUUCGGGGUGUAAAGCUCUUUCGGCAGGGAAGAUUAUGACGGUACCUGCAGAAGCAGCUGCGGCUAACUACGUGCCAGCAGCCGCGGUAAUACGUAGGCAGCAAGCGUUGUUCGGAGUUACUGGGCGUAAAGGGUGCGUAGGCGGCUUUUUAAGUUUGGUGUGAAAUCUCCCGGCUCAACUGGGAGGGUGCGCCGAAUACUGAGAGGCUAGAGUGUGGGAGAGGAAAGUGGAAUUCCUGGUGUAGCGGUGAAAUGCGUAGAUAUCAGGAGGAACACCGGUGGUGUAAACGGCUUUCUGGACCAUAACUGACGCUGAUGCACGAAAGCGUGGGUAGCAAACAGGAUUAGAUACCCUGGUAGUCCACGCCCUAAACGAUGCAUAUUUGGUGUGGGCCAUUCAUUUGGUCUGUGCCGGAGCUAACGCGUUAAUAUGCCGCCUGGGGAGUACAGUCGCAAGGCUGAAACUCAAAGGAAUUGACGGGGGCCCGCACAAGCGGUGGAGCAUGUGGUUUAAUUCGACGCAACGCGAAGAACCUUACCUAGGCUCGAAAUGCUGUGGACAGCUUAUGAAAGUAGGCCUUCCCCAAGGGACCGCA
rnacentral:rRNA from 1 species